rnacentral:rRNA from 1 species
UACGUAGGGUGCAAGCGUUGUCCGGAAUUAUUGGGCGUAAAGAGCUCGUAGGCGGUUUGUCGCGUUGUCCGUGAAAUUCCCUGGCUUAACUGGGGGCGUGCGGGCGAUACGGGCAGACUGGAGUACUGCAGGGGAGACUGGAAUUCCCGGUGUAGCGGUGAAAUGCGCAGAUAUCGGGUGGAACACCUGUGGCGAAGGCGGCCAUCUGGACGUUCACUGACGCUGAGACGCGAAAGCGUGGGUAGCAAACAGG